CCGGGAAGCGCUAGGUCGGAGCACGUUUCCGGCGUUUCUAUGGAGAUCAGCCGCCGCUCCGCGCCGGUGGCGGCCUUCUCCCCAGAGCACGAGUGGAGGCAGGAGUAGGGCUCACCGCUGGUCCAUCGGACUCCAGCUCUGCGUGGAGUGCAGAAGAGAUAUUCCUGCAGCCUAACCCCAGGCUCGCCCGCGGCUACGAGUGGAAUGAGGGACCCGACACCACCCCAGGCCCUGGCUCCCACCUUCCACCCAUUCUGUCCUCAAGCCUGUGUCCUAGGUAGAAGGUGGAGGCAACCUGUCUCUUGACCCCUACCUCCUCACACACAGCGGGCCCACCUGCCCUAGGGCGAGUAGUGAACGAAUAAAUAAAUGGAUAUUGAA